rnacentral:rRNA from 1 species
GACAGAGGGUGCAAACGUUGUUCGGAAUUACUGGGCGUAAAGCGCGUGUAGGCUGCUUGGAAAGUCGGAUGUGAAAGCCCCGGGCUCAACCUGGGAAGUGCAUUCGAAACUUCCGAGCUGGAGUCCUGGAGAGGAAGGCGGAAUUCUCGGUGUAGAGGUGAAAUUCGUAGAUAUCGAGAGGAACACCGGUGGCGAAGGCGGCCUUCUGGACAGUGACUGACGCUGAGACGCGAAAGCGUGGGAGCAAACAGG